GUUUUCCCUCCUCAACCAAAAAUCCCUAAUCUCCUCUUAUCUCUCUCUCUCUCUCUCUCUCUCUUCGGCGAGCGGCGGCAGACUAGGGUGUGAUCUUGGUCAUCAUCUUCUUCACUUAUCAUCUAAGAAACCCUAGAAUUUUUUAGUGUAUUUUGGGGAAAAGAAAAGAUAGGUGAAUGGGGGAAGGAGAGAGGAGUCGCCAGCGCCGAUCCGCUUUAACCUCACUACCGAACCUUCCAAGGAGUUGCCAACUAUCCUCCUCCUCCUCCUCCUCCUCAUCCUCAUCCUCAGCCCGCCAUCGGCUUCCCUCAACCUGUUCCUCCCCCAGGCGCCUCCGAACCCUAUGCUAAUGCCUAUCAAGCCGUUCCAGCUAGCAGAAGAUUCAAUGGUGAAGUUGGAUAGAAUCUGUCGGGAAGCAAAUGUCAUGUUGGUAUUUGCACACUCCUAUGGCCUCACAGGGUUUGUUCGGAUCAGUGUGAAGGUAAUGGACCUUAAAAUGUAUAUACAUAUAUAUUUGGGUUAAAUUUAUUAACUUGGCAUUUUGGAAAAGUUAGUAUUGGGAUGGUAGUGGCUACAAAAUAAAAAUCGGAGGCUUAACAAGGAUGAACACAUUAUCAAAUUUUAAUAUUUUUUGUUUUAAUUUUUUAACAAUCACAGAUUUCUUGUGGGCUUGUUAUUUUAAAAAUUUCUUUGCUCUUCCCACAAGGGUGAGGUGGGAUGUCAAUCAGGAUUGUUUGAAUUGAAAGAAACACCAAAGUAGAAAUUAAGUUUAGAAGAAAAUACCAGACUUGUACUUUCUGAAGAGUUGGGAGUGGUAAUUCUACUUUGCAUCUUUGAGGCAUGAACAUACUGUGAUUGAGUCAAAGCCUGAUCAUUUUCUGGAUGAUCUCCAACUAAAUUGCCCAUGGCCUGAGUUGAGGAGGUAUGGGUCUCAAAACUUAUUUUUUCAUUUGUUUGGUUGACUGUUGUGAGUUGUUUGUUUUGGCACAUUAAUUGUUAGUCUGUAUAUGCUAAUGGCAUUUAAUUUUUUGUUAGAAAAAAUUUGGGCCAUGAAUUUUUGGGAAACAAAUUUAUCACGAGCUAUGAUUGUUUGAGAGUGGUUAGUUAUAUGAUUUAGUUUAAUUAUUAACUCAUGCUGCAUUUUGUCACUUACUGAAUAUGAUUGAGGGCCGUUAUCCUGGCAAACCUUUGCCAUAUUGUUGAAAUCUAAAUUUUGGGCAGUCAUAUCAAGUGAUCCAUUAUUGCUUGGUGCUUGAAAAUCACCAUCAUCUCCAAUCAUAUUACGGUUAAUUGAAUUCUUUGGCCCUCUAGUUAAAAUGUCGAUGUCCAAUGACAAAUUGGCUGAAUUGUUCUUGGUCCUCAUCAAUCUCUCAAGUCCCCUCACCUAUUAUCCCCUGUUCUCACCACAAGUACAAAAGCAUAUUAUUUAAUAAAGAACAAAAUGUUAAACAUGUCAGGGAUCAUCAUAAUACAUAUUAAAUUAUUGUAACAAUGAUUAGUAUUAGUCUUGAUACACACCAUAUUUACAAAAAUAUAUGCUAAUGAUCACCCAGUGAUUAGUAUUAGUCUUGAUAUACGUGCUAAAUGUGUAUAAAAAUAUGUAAAAAACUAUUUUGGUAUUACUUCCCCCUUAAAGACAGACUAUAGGUUAUCAUUAGCAUGAUCCUUUGAAAAAUAAUAGUGAACCUUAUUAUUUUCUAGAUAUGAUAGGUCCUAUAUUUAUACAUAUGGUUCGUUUGAAUCCACGUAGGAGGUAAAAAGAAAGAGGGGUAACUAUGGAGAUGAAAGUGAAUUUUGAGCCAAACUAUAAGGGUGAAAAGUGUAACUGACCCAUAUUUAUUUUUCUGUUCUAUAUUUUGGGGGGCAUUGUUUCAUUGUGGUCAUAAUGAAUGACUAGUGGCGGGUGCACAUGCUAUGUCUGCACGGUACACGUGUGCAACUUUAUAUCUAGUUUCUUGGAUGGUUGGCUGAAUGAGAAAUAUGGAUUGGUUUGAAAAUUGAUUAGCAGUUAUUUACUGAAUGUGGUAUGUUUCUUAAUUCAGUUAGCGAUUCUAUGGGUAUUUUUUGGAAAAUCAAAAUUGUGUGACAAAGCUUCAAAAAGUGAGUUGUGUGUUUUAUAUGACAUAAUAGAUAGAAUAGAGUAGAAAAUGCACAGAAACAGGUAAAUUUUGCACCUUAUGUUUUUACAAAACUCUAAUGAGAAAUUAAUCUUCUAAUGUACUUCAUGUUCUUUCAGAGAUGGCUAUGAAAAAAAAUGGAGGUGGACAGGACUCCACCUUGACUAGCAUUUGAAAUAUGUUUGAUAUCUGGUACCUGCUGAUUUGACUGUUGGGUAGUUUGUCUAUGUGGUCCGGAAGAGGAUAAAGCUUGGUGCUGAGAAAGCCAUCUUUAUCUUUGUCAAGAACAUUUUGCCACCCACUGCUGCCAUGAUGUCUGCAAUUUAUGAGGAAAACAAGGAUGAAGAUGGCUUCCUGUACAUGACCUACAGCAAUAUUUCCCGAGUAGCAGUUUGCUUCUUGUGAAAUACAGGCGUGUGAAGAUUGUGAUUUACUUUUAUUUUUGUUAUCCACGGAAGAAUCAUGAGGGAAACUUUUGUUUUUGAUUUACGUUAUUUUGAAUUGUGAACAACAUUAUGUAUUUAAACAUUGUGUGUGUAUUAUGCAAUAUUAUGU